rnacentral:misc_RNA from 1 species
AACAAUAUGGCCGACAAUUUACUGCUUCGGGCACUUCAGGGACAACCUAAGAGGCUAAAUCUUUGCAACAGGCAUUUAGACAAAUUACCCAAAUCGAUAAGAAGGAUAGAAUCCUUAUGUGAACUGAAUCUCAAAAAUAAUAAUCUGAAAAAACUUCCUGAUGAACUCACAUAUUUACUUCAAUUACAAAUGCUUCAUCUUGGAAACAAUGAAUUUGAGGAUUUCCCAUCCAUUUUGCAACAUAUUAACAGCUUACAGAAACUGCACAUGUUUGGCAACAAAAUUACAGAUAUUCAUCCAUCUUGCCUAAAUGGUUUCAGAGACUUAAGAUUCCUGAAUUUGAACAAUAACAAGUUAAAAACACUGCCUUCAGAAAUUGGCAAUCUACAAAACAUUGAAUUCCUUAGUCUGGACAAUAACGAAAUUCAAACACUCCCUGUAGAGAUUUGUGCACUUUCCACAUUGAAAGAGCUGCAUGCUGCUGGAAAUCAGAUGACCUCACUGCCUUUGGAGUUUGGUUAUUUAACACAACUGGAAAAACUGUUUAUUCAGAAGAAUAAAAUCAGGGAACUUCCAGAGGGCAUUGGAAAGUGCUAUCACCUUCAAGUGCUAGAUGUGGCUGGAAAUGACCUUCGGAUCUUUCCAACAGAGAUUUCCAGUCUGCCCCUAAAGGAAUUACAUUGUGAAGAAAAUCCCUUACUUCAACAUGUGCCUAUCCAUUCUCUCCAGGAAGAGGAGGUCCUGACACUCAAGGAAAUUGUUGCUCGUUUUGUGUUGAAAGAGAUGCGAGGUGGUCAUACCUGCGGAGGUCAAUCAGACACUACCCUCAGCUGCAAGACAUGUUAGCACAAAGCAGCAAGUGUGCUGUAUGUGGUGAAGCAUUUCUAAACACCUGGCUGGAAUGUGUUCAUUUUGUAGAUACAAAGACGAUGAAGAUCAGAAAUAUGAAUGGCAAAAUUCCAGUGAGAGCACUGCUUUGCUCAUACACAUGCUUCAAUUCAGAGGGUCAUGAGUACUAUGGAGUUGCAUUUCCUUAACACCAACAAGCGUUUCUUGCGAAUUCCACAAAUAAACAAUAAAUCUGUGCAGCAACAUAGAAAUUACACCCAGGUACUAUUAAGAUAUGUAAAAAUAAAUCUGAAAUUUUAUUUCACCAUGAUAAGGUGGUGAUACAAGAGAAAGAAGAUAUACAGUCAAUACUGCAAUUAUGGUACAUGUCCUGCACAGUUGAGUGUAUAUGUGAAGGUGAGUACCUGUACAGGCAUUUUAUACAAUUGUCCCUUUUGACAAAAAAAAAAAAAAACUACAAUGAGCAUUAUUACAACUGAUAGAUUUUCAACUUGAUCAAACUUAUCUUGUAUAUUAUUGUAAUUCCCUUUCUCAUGCAGUUUUAAAAAAAAAUUCAAGUUUAUGUAAAGCAAUAUCAGCAUGCACAGCAAACAGCUAAAUGAAUUACAACCCUGCUCAGUCUCUCAUGCAUAUGCCCAUGUCCUACCUACACACACUCUCUCUCUUGCUUAGAUAGUUAAGUGCUGUGCUAUGCAGUUUCCUCUGCUGUAAUGUUAUAUGUACUAUGUAAUGAUCUUGUAGGGGGUUUGCACCGUGUGCUUUUAUGGACAGAGGGAUAUGCCAGCACUUGUGCUUCUGCCUUUCUUGUGUUUACAAGGCAUAUGUAUGGUCUUUGUAAAGUGAAUGAGGGUGCUGAGCUCUACCUUCUCCAUGAUAAACUGUAGAAAUUGUGAGGCACUAAGUUUACUAACUAUAGCCUCUAUAAGCUAUGAGACUUUAUCUAGACUGGUUGUGUCCCCUCUGUUGAAAUUUUAAAAUGUAACCUAUGCAAAUGAUAUUGUUAAGACUGACUUUUAUGUAUCAUUUGUAGCACCAAGUGUGAUUGCAGUUUUAUGCAUGGUAUAGAGAACAAAAUAUGAUAGAACUUAAAUAUUUUGAUAACUUUUAUUUAAAAUAAAGCAGGAAUUAUUUUUAAUAAAGUGAA